CAUCGCCGUGAUGGCCGGCCUGGGCAUCGCCGCUGAAUUACUGAGUAUGCAACGCUCCGAAGGCCCCUUCGCCGGCAUGACCAUUGCCCAGUGGCAGCAGCAGAUUGCCGCCAUCACUGAGGUGGUG
rnacentral:snoRNA from 1 species